rnacentral:rRNA from 1 species
AUUGAACGCUGGCGGCAGGCUUAACACAUGCAAGUCGAGCGAGCCGCGGAGGGGUGAGUAAUGUCUGGGAAACUGCCUGAUAGAGGGGGAUAACUAGUGGAAACGGUCGCUAAUACCGCAUACCCUCAGAUGUGCCCAGAUGGGAUUAGCGAGUAGGUGGGGUAAUGGCUCACCUAGGCGACGAUCCCUAGCUGGUCUGAGAGGAUGACCAGCCACACUGGAACUGAGACACGGUCCAGACUCCUACGGGAGGCAGCAGUGGGGAAUAUUGCACAAUGGGCGCAAGCCUGAUGCAGCCAUGCCGCGUGUGUGAAGAAGGCCUUCGGGUUGUAAAGCACUUUCAGCGGGGAGGCGUUACCGGCAGAAGAAGCACCGGCUAACUCCGUGCCAGCAGCCGCGGUAAUUC